rnacentral:lncRNA from 1 species
UCACGAAUCCCCUUUAUAGAACGAUUUAGUGGCUGGUGGACUUUGAAGUCCCUUCCACUGACCACUAGUUGGAGCAACAUUAUUUUCUUGCAGUAUUUAAUGAUGAAGGGUUUCCAUUUAAACCAGACCUGCCCCCUGACACUCCAGCCGCCAGGUACAAAAGUGGUCGGUCUGUCUCACCUGUCUGGUACCAGGAAGAACAUGAGAGGUUUAGAGCACUCUAAGAAGCAAUCACACCCAGCUUGCUUGGAUGAGAUCCCAGAGUGGACAGGAGCCGGAACAACCGUGAUGACUGGCCUCUCCAUGUGGAUGUGGAAAUAAAUGGCGGGCUCGAGGAAAGCCAGGCCAGCUUCAUUGGGAAAGCAAGGAAUCACAACUGAAAAUGCCCCUUUCACAUUUAGCCUCUAAACACAAACAACCACAUUUUU